CGAGGUGUAGCGCAGUUGGUAGCGCACCUGCUUCGGGAGUAGGAAGCCGCAAGUUCAAGUCUUGUCACCUCGACCA
rnacentral:tRNA from 1 species